GGUCAAGCUACAAAGGGUGUAUGGUGGAUGCCUAGGUGCUAGAAGUCGAUGAAGGACGUGGUAAGCUGCGAUAAGCCGCGGGGAGCUGCAAACAAGCUUUGAUCCGCGGAUUUCCGAAUCGGGAAACCGACCUGGUCGAAAGGCCAGAGUAUCUCGAUGUAAAGGUCCGGUCGUCAGAUCGGGAGAUAGCGUCGAGAAGACAACCCAGUGAAGUGAAACAUCUCAGUAACUGGUGGAAAAGAAAUCAACAGAGAUUCCCCUAGUAGUGGCGAGCGAACGGGGAAUAGCCCAAACCGAUGCGGCAUGCCGUGUCGGGGUUGCAGGGCUCGUCCGGUGUAGAACCAAGGAGUUACCAAUCGUCGGAUAGAAGAACGGUCCUGGAAAGGCCGGCCAGAGCGGGUGAUAGCCCCGUAUUCGAAAUCUAGACGACUCCUGACGAGUUCCUAAGUACCACGGGACACGUGAAAUCCCGUGGGAAUCCGGGGGGACCACCCCCCAAGGCUAAAUACUCUCUAGCAACCGAUAGUGAACGAGUACCGCGAGGGAAAGGCGAAAAGAACCCCUGAUGGGGAGUGAAAUAGAAUCUGAAACCGUACACCUACAAGCUUCACGAGGCCUAUGACGCACUUCGGUGCGUAAUGGCUGAGUGAGUGCCUGUUGAAGAAUGACCCGGCGAGUUACCGGGUGGAGCAAGGUUAAGGGAUGUGUGAAAGCGCAUUCCGCAGCCGCAGCGAAAGCGAGUCUGAAAGGGCGAAUAGUUCCAUCCGGUAGACCCGAAGCCAAGUGAUCUAACCAUGGCCAGAGUGAAGUUCGAGUAAAAUCGAAUGGAGGCUCGGAGUGUUAAACGUUGAAAAGUUUCUACAUGAGCUGUGGUUAGGGGUGAAAGGCUAAUCGAACUUGGUGAUAGCUGGUUCUCUCCGAAAUAGCUUUAGGGCUAGCGUCCGCCGUUAAACCGCGGGGGUAGAGCACUGGUAGAUGUAGCGACGGCAACCCCGUUUGCGAAGUCUGUCAAACUCCGAAUACCGCGGCGAACUAGCGGGCAGUCAGUUCGUGGGGGAUAAGCUCCACGUGCAAGAGGGGAACAACCCAGAGCGUCGAUCUAGGUCCCAAAGUGUAUGCUAAGUGGAAAACGCUGUGGAUUUGCAUAAACAGCCAGGAGGUUGGCUUAGAAGCAGCCACCCUUUAAAGAGUGCGUAACAGCUCACUGGUCUAGCGAAUCUGCGCGGAAAAUGACACGGGGCUCAAGCAUACCACCGAAAUCGCGUCUGUAUAGGAUCCUUCGGGGUCUUAUGCGGGGUAGGAGAGCGUUCUUAGUGCAGUGAAGGCAUACCGUAAGGAGUGCUGGAGCGCUAAGAAGUGAGGAUGUCGGGAUAAGUAGCGAGAAACAACGUGAGAAUCGUUGUCGCCGAAAACCUAAGGUUUCCUAGAUCAAUGUUCGUCAGAUCAGGGUUAGUCGGGCCUAAGCCGAGGCUGAAAAGCGUAGGCGAUGGACAUCCGGUUAAAAUUCCGGAACCAGGUUAUGGGCGUCAGGAUGAGCGGUGACGCAGAAGGGUAAUCGAUCCCGUCUGAAGGAUGGCGGGCUAACGUCGUAGGUGUGCUCCUCCAGGAAAAGUCCGGAGGGGCGUUAAGCCGAAAACGGAACGCGAGUGCCGGGUGACCGGCGCGAAGUCGACCAACCACGCUGCCAAGAAAACCCGCGCAUACUGCCCAUGAUCUGCCCGUACCGUAAACCGACACAGGUGGGUGGGGUGAAAAUCCUAAGGCGCGCGAGUGAGACUUGGUUAAGGAACUAGGCAAAAUUACCCCGUAACUUCGGAAGAAGGGGUGCUUCUCGCAAGAGAAGCCGCAGUGAAAGGGGGACCGUGACUGUUUAACAAAAACACAGGACUCUGCUGAAAUCGCAAGAUGAGGUAUAGGGUCUGACUCCUGCCCGGUGCUGGAAGGUCAAGGGGAGUGGUUAGCCGCAAGGCGAAGCUACGAACUCAAGCCCCAGUAAACGGCGGCGGUAACUAUAACCGUCCUAAGGUAGCGAAAUUCCUUGUCGGGUAAGUUCCGACCUGCACGAAUGGAGUAACAAAGGUCCCGCUGUCUCAACCAAGUGCUCGGCGAAAUUGUGGUACGAGUGAAGACGCUCGUUACGCGUGGUUAGACGAAAAGACCCCGUGGAGCUUUACUGUAACUUGUCAUUGUGUUAUGGAUUUAAAUGCGUAGUAUAGCUGGGAGCCUGUGAGACGGGGGUUGUGGCCCUCGUGGAGGCGCAACGUGAAAUACCAGCCUUUCGAAUCUGUGACACUAACCUAUGGCCGUGAUCCGGCCUAGGGACCGUGACAGGCGGGCAGUUUGACUGGGGCGGUCGCCUCCUAAACGGUAACGGAGGCGUUCCAAGGUUCGCUCAGGGCGCAUAGUAAUCGCCCAUAGAGUGCAUUGGCAGAAGCGAGCUUGACUGCAAGGCCUACAAGCCGGGCAGGGACGAAAGUCGGACAAAGUGAUCCGGUGGUACCUCGUGGGAGGGCCAUCGCUCAACGGAUAAAAGCUACCCCGGGGAUAACAGGCUGAUCUGGUCCAAGAGUUCACAUCGACGACCAGGUUUGGCACCUCGAUGUCGGCUCAUCGCAUCCUCCCGCUGGAGCAGGUGGGAAGGGUUGGGCUGUUCGCCCAUUAAAGCGGUACGUGAGCUGGGUUCAGUACGUCGUGAGACAGUACGGUCUCUAUCUACCAUGCGCGUUAGGAAACUUGAAAGGAGCUGUCCCUAGUACGAGAGGACCGGGAUGGACGAACCUCCUGUAUGCCAGUUAUCACGCCAGUGGUAUCGCUGGGUAGCGGUGUUCGGAAGGGAUAAACGCUGAAAGCAUCUAAGCGUGAAACCCUCCUUAAGAUAAGGUUUCCCUAGGUCGCAAGACCUCUAAAGGGCGCAGGAAGACUACCUGCUUGAUAGGCUGCGAGUGUAAGCGCCGCGAGGCGUUAAGCGAAGCAGUACUAAUCGCCCGUGCGGCUUGGCCGU
rfam:Elusimicrobia bacterium RIFOXYD12_FTLL_66_9 rifoxyd3_full_scaffold_1176, whole genome shotgun sequence.